UACGAAGGGGGCUAGCGUUGCUCGGAAUCACUGGGCGUAAAGGGCGCGUAGGCGGCUUUAUAAGUCGGGGGUAAAAGCCUGUGGCUCAACCACAGAAUUGCCUUCGAUACUGUAGAGCUUGAGACCGGAAGAGGUAAGUGGAACUGCGAGUGUAGAGGUGAAAUUCGUAGAUAUUCGCAAGAACACCAGUGGCGAAGGCGGACUUACUGGUCCGGUUCGUGACGCUGAGGUGCGAGAGCGUGGGGAGCGAACCGG
rnacentral:rRNA from 1 species